UUGAACGCUGGCGGCAGGCCUAACACAUGCAAGUCGAGCGGUAGCACAGAGAGCUUGCUCUCGGGUGACGAGCGGCGGACGGGUGAGUAAUGUCUGGGAAACUGCCUGAUGGAGGGGGAUAACUACUGGAAACGGUAGCUAAUACCGCAUAAUGUCGCAAGACCAAAGUGGGGGACCUUCGGGCCUCAUGCCAUCAGAUGUGCCCAGAUGGGAUUAGCUAGUAGGUGGGGUAACGGCUCACCUAGGCGACGAUCCCUAGCUGGUCUGAGAGGAUGACCAGCCACACUGGAACUGAGACACGGUCCAGACUCCUACGGGAGGCAGCAGUGGGGAAUAUUGCACAAUGGGCGCAAGCCUGAUGCAGCCAUGCCGCGUGUGUGAAGAAGGCCUUCGGGUUGUAAAGCACUUUCAGCGGGGAGGAAGGCGGUGAGGUUAAUAACCUCAUCGAUUGACGUUACCCGCAGAAGAAGCACCGGCUAACUCCGUGCCAGCAGCCGCGGUAAUACGGAGGGUGCAAGCGUUAAUCGGAAUUACUGGGCGUAAAGCGCACGCAGGCGGUCUGUCAAGUCGGAUGUGAAAUCCCCGGGCUCAACCUGGGAACUGCAUUCGAAACUGGCAGGCUAGAGUCUUGUAGAGGGGGGUAGAAUUCCAGGUGUAGCGGUGAAAUGCGUAGAGAUCUGGAGGAAUACCGGUGGCGAAGGCGGCCCCCUGGACAAAGACUGACGCUCAGGUGCGAAAGCGUGGGGAGCAAACAGUAUUAGAUACCCUGGUAGUCCACGCCGUAAACGAUGUCGAUUUGGAGGUUGUGCCCUUGAGGCGUGGCUUCCGGAGCUAACGCGUUAAAUCGACCGCCUGGGGAGUACGGCCGCAAGGUUAAAACUCAAAUGAAUUGACGGGGGCCCGCACAAGCGGUGGAGCAUGUGGUUUAAUUCGAUGCAACGCGAAGAACCUUACCUGGUCUUGACAUCCACAGAACUUUCCAGAGAUGGAUUGGUGCCUUCGGGAACUGUGAGACAGGUGCUGCAUGGCUGUCGUCAGCUCGUGUUGUGAAAUGUUGGGUUAAGUCCCGCAACGAGCGCAACCCUUAUCCUUUGUUGCCAGCGGUUAGGCCGGGAACUCAAAGGAGACUGCCAGUGAUAAACUGGAGGAAGGUGGGGAUGACGUCAAGUCAUCAUGGCCCUUACGACCAGGGCUACACACGUGCUACAAUGGCAUAUACAAAGAGAAGCGACCUCGCGAGAGCAAGCGGACCUCAUAAAGUAUGUCGUAGUCCGGAUUGGAGUCUGCAACUCGACUCCAUGAAGUCGGAAUCGCUAGUAAUCGUAGAUCAGAAUGCUACGGUGAAUACGUUCCCGGGCCUUGUACACACCGCCCGUCACACCAUGGGAGUGGGUUGCAAAAGAAGUAGGUAGCUUAACCUUCGGGAGGGCGCUUACCACUUUGUGAUUCAUGACUGGGGUG
rnacentral:rRNA from 1 species